rnacentral:rRNA from 1 species
AUCUAUACAGUGAAACUGCGAACGGCUCAUUAAAUCAGUUAUCGUUUAUUUGAUAGUACCUUACUACUUGGAUAACCGUGGUAAUUCUAGAGCUAAUACAUGCUAAAARUCCCAACCCUCCGGAUGGGACGUAUUUAUUAGAUAAAAAACCAAUGCCUUUGGGCUUCUUGGUGAUUCAUGAUAACUUUACGAAUCGCAUGGCCUUGUGCCGGCGAUGGUUCAUUCAAAUUUCUGCCCUAUCAACUUUCGAUGGUAGGAUAGUGGCCUACCAUGGUUUCAACGGGUAACGGGGAAUUAGGGUUCGAUUCCGGAGAGGGAGCCUGAGAAACGGCUACCACAUCCAAGGAAGGCAGCAGGCGCGCAAAUUACCCAAUCCCGACACGGGGAGGUAGUGACAAUAAAUACUGAUACAGGGCCCAUUUGGGUCUUGUAAUUGGAAUGAGUACAAUUUAAAGCCUUUAACAAGGAACAAUUGGAGGGCAAGUCUGGUGCCAGCAGCCGCGGUAAUUCCAGCUCCAAUAGCGUAUAUUAAAGUUGUUGCAGUUAAAAAGCUCGUAGUUGAACCUUGGGUCUGGGUGACCGGUCUGCGUCCCCGCAUGCACUGGAAACCCGGAUCUUUCCUUCUGGAGAAUCGCAUGCCCUUCAUUGGGUGUGUCGGGGAACCAGGACUUUUACUUUGAAAAAAUUAGAGUGUUCAAAGCAGGCAUUUGCUCGAAUACAUUAGCAUGGAAUAAUAGAAUAGGACGUGCGGUCCUAUUUUGUUGGUUUCUAGGACCGCCGUAAUGAUUAAUAGGGAUAGUCGGGGGCAUCCGUAUUCGAUUGUCAGAGGUGAAAUUCUUGGAUUUUUCGAAGACGAACUACUGCGAAAGCAUUUGCCAAGGAUGNUUUCAUUAAUCAGGAACGAAAGUUGAGGGAUCGAAGACGAUCAGAUACCGUCGUAGUCUCAACCAUAAACUAUGCCGACUAGGGAUCGGGCGAUGUUUAAAUCUGACUCGCUCGGCACCUUACGAGAAAUCAA